rnacentral:rRNA from 3 species
UUAAGUUAACAAGGGCGCAUGGUGAAUGCCUUGGCACUAGGAGCCGAUGAAGGACGGGACUAACACCGAUAUGCUUCGGGGAGCUGUACGUAAGCUAUGAUCCGGAGAUUUCCGAAUGGGGCAACCCAGCAGUUUUAAUCAACUGUUACCACUAGAUGAAUUCAUAGUCUAGUUGGAGGUAAACGCUGUGAACUGAAACAUCUCAUUAGCAGCAGGAAUAUAAAGAAAUUUCGAUUCCCUAAGUAGCGGCGAGCGAACGGGGAACAGCCCAAACCAAAGUGCUUGCACUUUGGGGUUGUAGGACUGAACAUUUGAGUUACCAAAGAACUUGAUAGUCGAAGGAUUUGGGAAAAUCCGCCAUAGAUGGUGAUAGCCCAGUAGAUUAAAUCAAAUUCUCUCAGUUCAGGAUCCUGAGUACGGCGGAACACGUGAAAUUCCGUCGGAAUCCGGGAGGACCAUCUCCCAAGGCUAAAUACUACCUAGUGACCGAUAGUGAACCAGUACCGUGAGGGAAAGGUGAAAAGCACCCCGGGAGGGGAGUGAAAUAGUUCCUGAAACCAUGUGCCUACAAUAAGUCAGAGCGCGUUAAUGCGUGAUGGCGUGCCUUUUGUAGAAUGAACCGGCGAGUUAUGAUCCCGUGCAAGGUUAAGACUAAAAAGUCGGAGCCGUAGCGAAAGCGAGUCUGAAAUGGGCGUUUUGAGUACGAGGUUAUAGACCCGAAACCAGGUGACCUAUCCAUGUCCAGGUUGAAGGUGCGGUAAAACGCACUGGAGGACCGAACCCGUGUAAGUUGAAAAUUGCUGGGAUGAGGUGUGGAUAGCGGUGAAAUUCCAAACGAACUUGGAGAUAGCUGGUUCUCUCCGAAAUAGCUUUAGGGCUAGCCUCGGAAUUAGGAUCAUGGAGGUAGAGCACUAUUUGGACUAGGGGCCCGUCUUGGGUUACUGAAUUCAGAUAAACUCCGAAUGCCAUUGAUUCAUAUCCGGGAGUCAGACGAUGAGUGAUAAGAUCCACCGUCGAAAGGGGAACAGCCCAGACCAUCAGUUAAGGUCCCUAAAUGUAUGCUAAGUGGAAAAGGAUGUGGAGUUGCAUAGACAACUAGGAUGUUGGCUCAGAAGCAGCCACCAUUUAAAGAGUGCGUAAUAGCUCACUAGUCGAGUGAUCCUGCGCCGAAAAUGUACCGGGGCUAAGCAUACUACCGAAACCAUGGAUGCGACCAUUAGGUCGCGUGAUAGGAGAGCGUUCUAAGGGCGGUGAAGCAAGAUCGUGAGGACUUGUGGAGCGCUUAGAAGUGAGAAUGCCGGUAUGAGUAGCGAAAGAUAGGUGAGAAUCCUAUCCACCGAAUGACUAAGGUUUCCUGGGGAAGGCUCGUCCUCCCAGGGUUAGUCGGGACCUAAGUCGAGGCCGAGAGGCGUAGACGAUGGAUAACAGGUUGAGAUUCCUGUACUAGUUAAGUGCGUUUGAGCAAUGGAGGGACGCAGGAGGCUAAGAUGUGCAUUCUGUUGGAUUAGAAUGUCCAAGCAGUAAGUCUUGUGAAGAGUCAAAUGCUUUUCACUUUAAGGACAAGCUGUGAUGGGGAGCGAAAUUUAGUAGCGAAGCGUCUGAUGUCACACUGCCGAGAAAAGCUUCUAGUGAGUACUUAACUACCCGUACCGCAAACCGACACAGGUAGUCGAGGAGAGAAUCCUAAGGUGAGCGAGUGAACUCUCGUUAAGGAACUCGGCAAAAUGACCCCGUAACUUCGGGAGAAGGGGUGCUGAUCGCAAGAUCAGCCGCAGUGAAUAGGCCCAGGCGACUGUUUAUCAAAAACACAGGUCUCUGCAAAAUCGUAAGAUGACGUAUAGGGGCUGACGCCUGCCCGGUGCUGGAAGGUUAAAAGGAUGGGUUAGCUUCGGCGAAGCUCAGAAUUGAAGCCCCAGUAAACGGCGGCCGUAACUAUAACGGUCCUAAGGUAGCGAAAUUCCUUGUCGGGUAAGUUCCGACCCGCACGAAAGGCGUAACGAUCUGGGCACUGUCUCAACGAGAGACUCGGUGAAAUUAUAUUGUCCGUGAAGAUGCGGACUACCCGCGACAGGACGGAAAGACCCCAUGGAGCUUUACUGUAGCUUGAUAUUGAGUGUUUGUACAGCUUGUACAGGAUAGGUAGGAGCCAUAGAAACCGGAACGCUAGUUUCGGUGGAGGCGUUGGUGGGAUACUACCCUCGCUGUAUGACCACUCUAACCCGCACCACUAAUCGUGGUGGGAGACAGUGUCAGGUGGGCAGUUUGACUGGGGCGGUCGCCUCCUAAAAAGUAACGGAGGCGCCCAAAGGUUCCCUCAGAAUGGUUGGAAAUCAUUCGUAGAGUGUAAAGGCACAAGGGAGCUUGACUGCGAGACAGACAGGUCGAGCAGGGACGAAAGUCGGGCUUAGUGAUCCGGUGGUACCGUAUGGAAGGGCCAUCGCUCAACGGAUAAAAGCUACCCUGGGGAUAACAGGCUUAUCUCCCCCAAGAGUCCACAUCGACGGGGAGGUUUGGCACCUCGAUGUCGGCUCAUCGCAUCCUGGGGCUGUAGUCGGUCCCAAGGGUUGGGCUGUUCGCCCAUUAAAGCGGUACGCGAGCUGGGUUCAGAACGUCGUGAGACAGUUCGGUCCCUAUCCGUCGCGGGCGUAGGAAAUUUGAGAGGACCUGUCCUUAGUACGAGAGGACCGGGAUGGACAUACCUCUGGUGUACCAGUUGUGCCGCCAGGCGCAUCGCUGGGUAGCUACGUAUGGAUGUGAUAAACGCUGAAAGCAUCUAAGUGUGAAACACACCUCGAGAUGAGAUUUCCCAUUCCUUUAUGGAAGUAAGACCCCUGAAAGAUGAUCAGGUAGAUAGGUUAGAAGUGGCAGUGCGGUGACGCAUGAAGCGGACUAAUACUAAUCGGUCGAGGACUUAACCAA